rnacentral:rRNA from 1 species
GGAGUCUGGUCCGUGUCUCAGUACCAGUGUGGGGGACCUUCCUCUCAGAACCCCUAACGAUCGUAGGCCAGGUGGGCCGUUACCCCGCCUGCUGCCUAAUCGUACGCAUCCCCAUCCAUCGGCGACCGAAGUCUUUCGUGAAAAUCAGAGGCCUUCUUCUCACAACAUCAGGUAUUAGGCUCCCUUUCGGAAGGUUAUUCCUGACCCAUGGGCAGGUUGGAUACGCGUUACUCACCCGUGCGCCGGUCGUCAUCAAAGGAAGCAAGCUUCCUUCAUGCUGCCCCACGACUUGCAUGUGUUAAGCCUGUAGCCAGCGUUCAUC